UACGUAGGGUGCAAGCGUUGUCCGGAAUUAUUGGGCGUAAAGAGCUCGUAGGCGGUUCGUCGCGUCGGCUGUGAAAUCCCGAGGCUCAACCUCGGGUCUGCAGUCGAUACGGGGCGGACUGGAGUUCGGCAGGGGAGACUGGAAUUCCUGGUGUAGCGGUGAAAUGCGCAGAUAUCAGGAAGAACACCUAUGGCGAAGGCAGCUCUCUGGGACGGUACUGACGCUGAGACGCGAAAGCGUGGGGAGCGAACAGG
rnacentral:rRNA from 1 species